rnacentral:rRNA from 1 species
CCUACGGGUGGCAGCAGUAGGGAAUUUUCCACAAUGGGCGAAAGACUUAUGGAGCAACGCCGCGUGUGUGAUGAAGGCUUUCGGGUCGUAAAGCACUGUUGUAUGGGAAGCACAGCUAGAAUAGGAAAUGAUUUUAGUUUGACGGUACCAUACCAGAAAGGGACGGCUAAAUACGUGCCAGCAGCCGCGGUAAUACGUAUGUCCCGAGCGUUAUCCGGAGUUAUUGGGCGUAAAGCGAGAGCAGACGGUUGAGUAAGUCAGAUGUGAAAACCCGUAGCUCAACUCCGGAAUGGCAUUGGAAACGGGUUAACUUGAGUUCAGUAUAGGGAAGUUGAACUCCGUGUAUAUCGGUGGAAUGCGUAGAUAUAUGGAAGACCACCAGUGGCGAAGGCGGCUUACUGGACUGCAACUGACGUUGAGGCUCGAAAGUGUGGGUAGCAAACAGGAUUAGAUACCCCGGUAGUC